rnacentral:rRNA from 1 species
GAUGAACGCUGGCGGCGUGCCUAAUACAUGCAAGUCGAGCGAACAGACGAGGAGCUUGCUCCUCUGACGUUAGCGGCGGACGGGUGAGUAACACGUGGAUAACCUACCUAUAAGACUGGGAUAACUUCGGGAAACCGGAGCUAAUACCGGAUAAUAUAUUGAACCGCAUGGUUCAAUAGUGAAAGACGGUUUUGCUGUCACUUAUAGAUGGAUCCGCGCCGCAUUAGCUAGUUGGUAAGGUAACGGCUUACCAAGGCAACGAUGCGUAGCCGACCUGAGAGGGUGAUCGGCCACACUAGAACUGAGACACGGUCCAGACUCCUACGGGGAGCAGCAGUAGGGAAUCUUCCGCAAUGGGCGAAAGCCUGACGGAGCAACGCCGCGUGAGUGAUGAAGGUCUUCGGAUCGUAAAACUCUGUUAUUAGGGAAGAACAAAUGUGUAAGUAGCUAUGCACGUCUUGACGGUACCUAAUCAGAAAGCCACGGCUAACUACGUG